UAAAAAGGUCAAUCGUCUGUGAAAAGCAGGAAAAACCACGAAAAGUGGCGUGUAUGUGUGAUAAUUAUUUCGUUUACUUUGUGUGAUUGCUUUAGGUUUUUAUUUCUUGUUAUUACUCGUAUCAGUCGUAUCAUAGCCUUAAAUUUGGUACCAGCCAUCAUGUCUUCAGUAUGUUGUGGAACUAAAAAACAAAAGCUGAACAAUUCAUACAGCAACCACGUCGAGCGACCUAUAAAUGGUUACCAUGAGCCAGUGGCAAUACCCGAUAUGUGCUACUUUUGUUUCGAUGUAUUGUAUUGUCAGCUGCACAGUAUGGACCCUCCACAGACGCCACUUUUCACCAACGAAGCAUAUCCCCUUUUUGUCACAUGGAAGAUUGGCAAGGAGCAUCGGCUCCGCGGAUGUAUUGGGACCUUUAAUGCUAUGCAUUUGCAUUCAGGUCUGCGAGAGUACGCAAUAACAAGCGCUUUGAAGGAUUCGCGCUUUACGCCAAUCACGCGCGAGGAGGUGCCGCGGCUGUCGGUGUCGGUGUCCAUCCUGCAGCACUUCGAGGAAGCGGAGCACUACCUGGACUGGAAGCUGGGCAAGCACGGCAUCCGCAUCGAGUUCCUCAGCGAGCGCGGCUCCAAGCGCACUGCAACCUACUUACCUCAAGUCGCUACUGAGCAAGGUACAGUACUGACGCUGUCACGAGCGCGCUCAAGUCUACGUCGAUCACGCGCGAGGAGGUGCCGCGGCUGUCGGUGUCGGUGUCCAUCCUGCAGCACUUCGAGGAAGCGGAGCACUACCUGGACUGGAAGCUGGGCAAGCACGGCAUCCGCAUCGAGUUCCUCAGCGAGCGCGGCUCCAAGCGCACUGCAACCUACUUACCUCAAGUCGCUACUGAGCAAGGUACAGUACUGACGCUGUCACGAGCGCGCUCAAGUCUACGUCGAUCACGCGCGAGGAGGUGCCGCGGCUGUCGGUGUCGGUGUCCAUCCUGCAGCACUUCGAGGAAGCGGAGCACUACCUGGACUGGAAGCUGGGCAAGCACGGCAUCCGCAUCGAGUUCCUCAGCGAGCGCGGCUCCAAGCGCACUGCAACCUACUUACCUCAAGUCGCUACUGAGCAAGGUACAGUACUGACGCUGUCACGAGCGCGCUCAAGUCUACGUCGAUCACGCGCGAGGAGGUGCCGCGGCUGUCGGUGUCGGUGUCCAUCCUGCAGCACUUCGAGGAAGCGGAGCACUACCUGGACUGGAAGCUGGGCAAGCACGGCAUCCGCAUCGAGUUCCUCAGCGAGCGCGGCUCCAAGCGCACUGCAACCUACUUACCUCAAGUCGCUACUGAGCAAGGUACAGUACUGACGCUGUCACGAGCGCGCUCAAGUCUACGUCGAUCACGCGCGAGGAGGUGCCGCGGCUGUCGGUGUCGGUGUCCAUCCUGCAGCACUUCGAGGAAGCGGAGCACUACCUGGACUGGAAGCUGGGCAAGCACGGCAUCCGCAUCGAGUUCCUCAGCGAGCGCGGCUCCAAGCGCACUGCAACCUACUUACCUCAAGUCGCUACUGAGCAAGGUACAGUACUGACGCUGUCACGAGCGCGCUCAAGUCUACGUCGAUCACGCGCGAGGAGGUGCCGCGGCUGUCGGUGUCGGUGUCCAUCCUGCAGCACUUCGAGGAAGCGGAGCACUACCUGGACUGGAAGCUGGGCAAGCACGGCAUCCGCAUCGAGUUCCUCAGCGAGCGCGGCUCCAAGCGCACUGCAACCUACUUACCUCAAGUCGCUACUGAGCAAGGUACAGUACUGACGCUGUCACGAGCGCGCUCAAGUCUACGUCGAUCACGCGCGAGGAGGUGCCGCGGCUGUCGGUGUCGGUGUCCAUCCUGCAGCACUUCGAGGAAGCGGAGCACUACCUGGACUGGAAGCUGGGCAAGCACGGCAUCCGCAUCGAGUUCCUCAGCGAGCGCGGCUCCAAGCGCACUGCAACCUACUUACCUCAAGUCGCUACUGAGCAAGGUACAGUACUGACGCUGUCACGAGCGCGCUCAAGUCUACGUCGAUCACGCGCGAGGAGGUGCCGCGGCUGUCGGUGUCGGUGUCCAUCCUGCAGCACUUCGAGGAAGCGGAGCACUACCUGGACUGGAAGCUGGGCAAGCACGGCAUCCGCAUCGAGUUCCUCAGCGAGCGCGGCUCCAAGCGCACUGCAACCUACUUACCUCAAGUCGCUACUGAGCAAGGUACAGUACUGACGCUGUCACGAGCGCGCUCAAGUCUACGUCGAUCACGCGCGAGGAGGUGCCGCGGCUGUCGGUGUCGGUGUCCAUCCUGCAGCACUUCGAGGAAGCGGAGCACUACCUGGACUGGAAGCUGGGCAAGCACGGCAUCCGCAUCGAGUUCCUCAGCGAGCGCGGCUCCAAGCGCACUGCAACCUACUUACCUCAAGUCGCUACUGAGCAAGGUACAGUACUGACGCUGUCACGAGCGCGCUCAAGUCUACGUCGAUCACGCGCGAGGAGGUGCCGCGGCUGUCGGUGUCGGUGUCCAUCCUGCAGCACUUCGAGGAAGCGGAGCACUACCUGGACUGGAAGCUGGGCAAGCACGGCAUCCGCAUCGAGUUCCUCAGCGAGCGCGGCUCCAAGCGCACUGCAACCUACUUACCUCAAGUCGCUACUGAGCAAGGUACAGUACUGACGCUGUCACGAGCGCGCUCAAGUCUACGUCGAUCACGCGCGAGGAGGUGCCGCGGCUGUCGGUGUCGGUGUCCAUCCUGCAGCACUUCGAGGAAGCGGAGCACUACCUGGACUGGAAGCUGGGCAAGCACGGCAUCCGCAUCGAGUUCCUCAGCGAGCGCGGCUCCAAGCGCACUGCAACCUACUUACCUCAAGUCGCUACUGAGCAAGGUACAGUACUGACGCUGUCACGAGCGCGCUCAAGUCUACGUCGAUCACGCGCGAGGAGGUGCCGCGGCUGUCGGUGUCGGUGUCCAUCCUGCAGCACUUCGAGGAAGCGGAGCACUACCUGGACUGGAAGCUGGGCAAGCACGGCAUCCGCAUCGAGUUCCUCAGCGAGCGCGGCUCCAAGCGCACUGCAACCUACUUACCUCAAGUCGCUACUGAGCAAGGUACAGUACUGACGCUGUCACGAGCGCGCUCAAGUCUACGUCGAUCACGCGCGAGGAGGUGCCGCGGCUGUCGGUGUCGGUGUCCAUCCUGCAGCACUUCGAGGAAGCGGAGCACUACCUGGACUGGAAGCUGGGCAAGCACGGCAUCCGCAUCGAGUUCCUCAGCGAGCGCGGCUCCAAGCGCACUGCAACCUACUUACCUCAAGUCGCUACUGAGCAAGGUACAGUACUGACGCUGUCACGAGCGCGCUCAAGUCUACGUCGAUCACGCGCGAGGAGGUGCCGCGGCUGUCGGUGUCGGUGUCCAUCCUGCAGCACUUCGAGGAAGCGGAGCACUACCUGGACUGGAAGCUGGGCAAGCACGGCAUCCGCAUCGAGUUCCUCAGCGAGCGCGGCUCCAAGCGCACUGCAACCUACUUACCUCAAGUCGCUACUGAGCAAGGUACAGUACUGACGCUGUCACGAGCGCGCUCAAGUCUACGUCGAUCACGCGCGAGGAGGUGCCGCGGCUGUCGGUGUCGGUGUCCAUCCUGCAGCACUUCGAGGAAGCGGAGCACUACCUGGACUGGAAGCUGGGCAAGCACGGCAUCCGCAUCGAGUUCCUCAGCGAGCGCGGCUCCAAGCGCACUGCAACCUACUUACCUCAAGUCGCUACUGAGCAAGGUACAGUACUGACGCUGUCACGAGCGCGCUCAAGUCUACGUCGAUCACGCGCGAGGAGGUGCCGCGGCUGUCGGUGUCGGUGUCCAUCCUGCAGCACUUCGAGGAAGCGGAGCACUACCUGGACUGGAAGCUGGGCAAGCACGGCAUCCGCAUCGAGUUCCUCAGCGAGCGCGGCUCCAAGCGCACUGCAACCUACUUACCUCAAGUCGCUACUGAGCAAGGUUGGGACCAAAUACAAACAAUCGACUCCCUCCUCCGAAAGGGGGGUUACAAGGCGGCCAUCACCACAGAUCUCAGAAGGAGCAUCAAGCUCACUAGAUACCAAUCGGAAGAGGUGUCCGCGUCUUACAACGACUACAUCAACCAGCGGUGCUAGCAAACGGCCCCCUUUUACGGGCACGCGUACACUAACAAGCGAAUAUAUCGGACGAACGCGAGUGACUAUUGUGUUAACAAUGUAGUUUAUAAGUAUACCGCAUCUAGUGUGCCGUACGACGCGUGGCGACCCGCGCACACGACUACGACGGGUCAGAAUUAUGCUCAAAGUGCCCCCGCUCUUAACAGAUCGUGCUUCAUCGAUAUGGUGUAAGAGUAAUUAUCACUGCCAACGACAUUCCUCAGGGCGUUCAACGGUGCCAUCUUUGAAACUACACGGCAGGGUACAGAGACAUUUUGUUGCGAUGGUUGUGCUUUUAUGGGCUUGAGUCAAAAAAGUGCGAAAUUCAGACCGAUGAAGCUAUAGGCGCGUAUAUAUUGGCGCGCAAAUUACAUUAUAUAACGCAUGCCGGGAAUGCUAGUAAAAAAAUAUGGCAUGUAGGUGAUACGGCAUCCACUGUUGAAAAUCCUAUGUGGCGUCAUACCAUUAUAAUAUCAGCAUGCCGUCCCAAAAAAAGAUCUUUUGGUCCAGGAAAAAUUACCCUUGGGCAAAAUUAUAUUUUGCUGUUAGGGAUUAAAAUUAUCCCUUGGCAAAAUUGUAUUUUUCUUUUAGGGAUACUGAAGGUGGAUUUAUACCUUCACACACGCAUGGAAUAGCACGUGCAUGUCACUAACGCGUAUAUCAUGUUUGUACUGACUCCCAAAAACUUACGGACAUAUGCACGCCGUGACAUGUACAACAGCACGCGAACCACUCCCAAACCACACAAACACGUCCAAAUUGUUCUUAUGUUGCGUUUUGUGUACACGGUUCGAGCGUGUGCGCAGGUGUGGAUCAGCCCUAAUGCCUCGUAAAAGAGACUUUAUCAAGAUCAUACGUUAAGAUAGAUUAGACAAUUUGAAUAGAAAUAUUUAGCAAUAAAAAGUACCAUCAGUUUAGGACAUAAAAUGUCUAUUAUAGUUUCAUUAGUGCUUUAGGAUAACUUUACUAAGGCUUUAAAUAGAUGAUCCUGAACGCUUUUUUUUCUAUGGCAGAUAUUAGAAAAAGAAGCAGGGAGCUACCCAAAAAAAAGGAGUGUUUUCAGGGUGUAUGUAUGUAAGUUUCUUAAUUCCACCAUAAUUUCUAAAUGACUGAACAGAUUUGGAUGUAUGGGGUAUCGUUAAAAUCCCACCAUCCUGAGUGACGGAUAUAAAUUUUUUGAAAGAAAUUCUAGUAUACGGCGGCUGCAUGGCACCAUUUUCAAAUGUGACGAUUUUUACUUUUUAGUUCGUUUUUGGCCUUUGAUGACUCAAUAAAAUCAAUAUAUGAAUUCACAAAUAUGAUUUUCGUAAUGAAGCCUGAAGAAGUGAAUGAAGCAAACCAUAGGCAUGGUGACAAAAUGUCCUAACGUACCGCAUAAGCUGGGAACAAAUUAUAUUAUAUAGCAUCAAUUGGAACUCGCCAUUACUUCUACUUCAUGGAUUUACCGUACUUAAUCGUACUUUUAAGAGGGGUCUCUCCGUCACUCGCUCCAUACAAACGUAGUUCCAAUUUCAUUUGAAUAUUAAGCAUGAA